UACGUAGGGGGCUAGCGUUGUCCGGAUUUAUUGGGCGUAAAGAGCGUGUAGGCGGCCUGGUAGGUCUGCUGUGAAAACUCGAGGCUCAACCUCGAGAUGUCGGCGGAAACCAUCCGGCUAGAGUCCGGAAGAGGAGAGUGGAAUUCCUGGUGUAGCGGUGAAAUGCGCAGAUAUCAGGAAGAACACCUAUGGCGAAGGCAGCUCUCUGGGACGGUACUGACGCUGAGACGCGAAAGCGUGGGGAGCGAACAGG
rnacentral:rRNA from 1 species